GAGCACCAGAAACGAGCACAUAUACUAAAACUAUAAUGAUACCGAGACGAAUAACAUGACCCCUGUGCCAUGAUGACACACAUUGUAAAUAUAAUGUACAAGUUAAA